CGUGCACUCACAAUAGAAUCCUCGGAGGCUUUCCUAUCCAGGACCCUGCUGCCUCUGACCGCACCCCAAGCCUUCUCUGCUGCUCACAUGGGCUCCUCUCUCCUUUGUGCUUUUUGCCUUCUGUCCCCACUGCCUGGAAAACGUUCCCCUCACAUUUUGCAUGGCUGCUGCCUUCUCAUCACAGAGGUCUCAGGUCAACCAUCACUACCCCCAGGAGGCCUUCCUUGACUGCCCUAUCUCCUGUCACUGGCCUCCACUACCAGUCACUGCCAUGUUCACUUCCUUUUGUUGUCAUCUAGCACCUGUCCCUGUCUGAAUUGUAUCAUUUAUCUGUUAUUAUUUGUUUAUUCUGUUCCUGCCUGUCUCCCUGAGGCCAGGGACCUUGUCUGUCUUUAUUACUAUGCUGACCCUGGUGCUCAGCACUUAAUAAAGAAUCAUUAAAACAAAAUGAAUGAAGGACACUAAAGGCUGUCAUAGAAGUUACUUGGACAACACCACCCACCCCUGGGGGGUGGGGUGGUGGGAACUUGCUUGGUGAUGGCAACAAACAAACAAACACUUUCCCCUUCCCACUUCUCUUCCGGUAUUCCAGACAGGAGGAAUAAUGUACUGAUCUGCUGACAUUAAGAAGGACCCUAUUUUCAGAUUACUUCUUCAAAGGAGCAGCAUCUACAUUGGCAAGGUGAUUACAACCCAAGCACACAGCUGAUUUGGAAGACUUGAGUCCCAAAAGAUGACUUUUUUUUUUCCUCCUCCUCUGCAGGAUGCUUUAGCUUGAAACAUCUGGGUAACUGCUUAACACCUUCCUAUUUUGCAGAACAUUCCCAGCAUCGGGGCCGUUUGCAUCUUUCUGGGCUAGUAUUUUUCAGGAUUAUUUAGAACCAAGGACCUCAUGCACUGGGGGAGGUCCUGCUCCUCUCUGCCCACCCCGUUUCUCAUGCCCCCACUUCCACCUCCAACACUCCCUCAAGGGCAGAGGCGCUCAUCUUCCACUGUAUGUCCGCAGGGUUAAAACCUGCCAUGUUGCCUGUCUCCCAGGACAUGGCUCCUUCAGGGAUUUCUUUCUUUUUUUUUUUUGUUUUUUUGUUUUUUU
rnacentral:lncRNA from 10 species